AUUGAACGCUGGCGGCAGGCUUAACACAUGCAAGUCGAGCGGGGUGAUGGUGCUUGCACUAUCACUUAGCGGCGGACGGGUGAGUAAUGCUUAGGAAUCUGCCUAUUAGUGGGGGACAACAUCUCGAAAGGGAUGCUAAUACCGCAUACGUCCUACGGGAGAAAGCAGGGGAUCACUUGUGACCUUGCGCUAAUAGAUGAGCCUAAGUCGGAUUAGCUAGUUGGUGGGGUAAAGGCCUACCAAGGCGACGAUCUGUAGGGGGUCUGAGAGGAUGAUCCGCCAAACUGGGACUGGCACACGGCCCAGACUCCUACGGGAGGCAGCAGUGGGGAAUAUUGGACAAUGGGGGGAACCCUGAUCCAGGCAUGCCGCGUGUGUGAAGAAGGCCUUAUGGGUGUAAAGCACUUUGAGCGAGGAGGAGGCUCUUUUGGUUAAUACCCAAGAUGAGUGGACGUUACUCGCAGAAUAAGCACCGGCUAACUCUGUGCCAGCCGCCGCGGUAA
rnacentral:rRNA from 1 species